GACGAACGCUGGCGGCGUGCUUAACACAUGCAAGUCGAACGGAAAGGCCCUGCUUUUGUGGGGUGCUCGAGUGGCGAACGGGUGAGCAACACGUGAGUAACCUGCCCUUGACUUUGGGAUAACUUCAGGAAACUGGGGCUAAUACCGGAUAGGAGCUCCUGCUGCAUGGUGGGGGUUGGAAAGUUUCGGCGGUUGGGGAUGGACUCGCGGCUUAUCAGCUUGUUGGUGGGGUAGUGGCUUACCAAGGCUUUGACGGGUAGCCGGCCUGAGAGGGUGACCGGCCACAUUGGGACUGAGAUACGGCUCAGACUCCUACGGGAGGCAGCAGUGGGGAAUAUUGCACAAUGGGCGGAAGCCUGAUGCAGCAACGCCGCGUGCGGGAUGACGGCCUUCGGGUUGUAAACCGCUUUCGCCUGUGACGAAGCGUGAGUGACGGUAAUGGGUAAAGAAGCACCGGCUAACUACGUG
rnacentral:rRNA from 1 species